AGAGUUUGAUCCUGGCUCAGGAUGAACGCUGGCGGCGUGCUUAACACAUGCAAGUCGAACGGUGAAGCCCAGCUUGCUGGGUGGAUCAGUGGCGAACGGGUGAGUAACACGUGAGCAAUCUGCCCCUGACUCUGGGAUAAGCGCUGGAAACGGCGUCUAAUACUGGAUAUGAACCGUGGAGGCAUCUUCAACGGUUGGAAAGAUUUUUUGGUCAGGGAUGAGCUCGCGGCCUAUCAGCUUGUUGGUGAGGUAAUGGCUCACCAAGGCGUCGACGGGUAGCCGGCUGAGAGGGUGA
rnacentral:rRNA from 1 species